UCUGAGGCACUGCGAAUCGAG
rnacentral:piRNA from 1 species